AUGUUCAACCCCAAGGAUUUCUCCUGUCACCAACCACAGAUACCCACAGUGACCCCCAGGCAGCCAAGCGGCUGUGCAGGGGCAGCGAAGGGCGUCGCUCUGCCCUGCGGGACGCGGCAAGAGGUCUCGGCGGCCAGCACGCCCCGGCAGGUGACUUCGCGGGCGACCAGAUUCCCCGCGGUGCUGCUGCUGCCAGAACCGUGCAGGCGCUGGAAGGGCAUCCGGAACGUGGAUCCUCACUCUGAAAGGUCAGAACUCAUUUGUCCAAAAUCGGGCGUCUUCAAGGUCACGUCUCCACGAGAGGAUGAAACCGCUCCUCCACCCCGUUCUCUGCCGGCAUCCCCGUGGGGACCUCGGGCCCGAGGUGUCCAGGAGGCCAGGUGUGGAAUGGCCCUGGACCGCUGGCCGGGUCAUUGCCUCCCCUCAGAAAACCGCCGCUGUCCGGGUGCAGAGCCAGAACCUCCCCCACGCUUGACUCCCCCAGAUGCCGGAGGCCGGCCGUCCCCCCCGCGCCCUCCUGGGUCAGCUUCUGCUUCUCCCCGGCCUGUCCUCCUGCAGCAGGACCUUCCCUGCUUCAGCCCCAAGCCCUUCUCAUCACCCAUCACGCUGGGAGACCUCGAGGUCCCGCCAAGGCGCCUCCUUACAGUCUUGGGGCUCUGUUCCCCCUCACUCCUGGUCAGCCACACUGGGCUGCUUGCUGUUCCGGACAGAGCCAGGCUUGCCCGGGCCCAGGGCCUUUGCACAGGCCGUCUGGUGCCUGGGGCCCUUGUCUCCCCCACAGGAGGCAGGAAGUUGCAUGUUGCCAUCUGGGGUGGGGGCGCUGUGCUGGUACGAUGUAAAUGGCACCCCGCUCCCCUUCCCCCACCCCCGGCUCUCACAGCACUGAUGUAUUUUGUGGGGGGGUCGACUGUCCUUAUGGCUGACAUUUAAGCUCCUUCUCCAGGAGCAAAGGGCAGGUGCGAGCGACACGGGAGCGCACGUCCCACUCGUUCUGGCUUCCUGUCCAGCAGAGGCAUCCCUUCCUGCUGUGCGUUCACUCGCAGAGGAAGCGCAGGGAGAGAGGUGGUUCCUGGGGGGCACGUGGUAGUCUUGCUGUCAGUAACGAGUAUAAAGUUUUCAUUGUAAAGGUGAAACGUUUAAAACGCGGGGAUGGGCGUUGCAGAUGGAGGCUGCCGGCAGCCAAGCGCUAAGGGGCAGGAGGAGCAGACACGGGCGAGUCUCACCGUCUCCGAGCAAAGGGUGAUUUGUUUUUUUAAUGUCAAAUACCCCGUGGGUCUUGGUCAGAGCUGUGAUUCAACAUCUGACCUUUGCAGGGUCUGGGCUCUUCAGAAGGACGCUGUUUUUCAGUACCAGCCCUCUUUCAACGUUUAUUUUUAUUUCAAAAGUUUAAAUUAUUAAAAACAAUUUAAUGGCUAGAUUGACUGUCUCAUCUAAGCGAGUUUACUAAAAUUUCAGGCUAACCUUUUCCAGCCUCCCCAGCAGUUUAGCUUUGGAGCACAUUUGGCGCCUCUGGAGAGACACGAAAUUUUCCCAGACAAGGUUUUUAUGGUUUCAUUUUAUAACAUUUAACGACAUGCUUGAUGAAGAGACCACAAACCUCACGAACCUCCGCGCAGCAACGGCGAUGGAAUCGCUGAUUUGGUUCUGGGCUUCCGCUGUGCCAGAGGCCUUCCGUCAAAACCAUGCAAAUUAGGACAAAAGCUAACCCAGGGCCCGGAUGAAGCCCUUGGAGACGGCAUGGCUGGGGCGUGGGGGUCAUCCAGCCGCCGCCCAGGACCCCAGGGUGACGCGGCUGCUGCUGGCACGGGCCCCCUCCAGCGACGAGCCCGUCCCCUGGCUCCACGUGGCCCAGUAAGUUCCCAGGCUGUCGGGAGACUCCCG
rnacentral:lncRNA from 9 species